rnacentral:lncRNA from 1 species
CUACUUGUGACGAUUAUGUUUACCAUUUGAUUUAUUACUCGCAAUUUAUUCAUGAUUUGUGGAAAUAAUUUGAGACGACUGAAUGCCUUAAAACAUGUCCAUAUUUGUUUCGAAUAUUUGACGAGGCAGUGGUGAGUAAAUUAGAUUGUUUGCAUGGUAAUCUGAAUCUGUCCAUUCGCAUGCGUUAUACUUGUUUUGUUAUGCUUAUGAUUGGACUACAAGCUUGUUUGCGUUGCUAUUUACUAUCUCAUGGCUAUUCUUUUUAGUGGACUCAAUUGCC